rnacentral:rRNA from 1 species
GACGAACGCUGGCGGCGUGCUUAACACAUGCAAGUCGAGCCGGUAAGGGCCCUUUCGGGGGUACACGAGCGGCGAACGGGUGAGUAACACGUGGGUGACCUGCCCUCAGCUCUGGGAUAAGCCUGGGAAACUGGGUCUAAUACCGGAUAUGACUCCAUGACGCAUGUUGUGGGUGGAAAGCCUUGUGCGGCUGAGGAUGGGCCCGCGGCCUAUCAGCUUGUUGGUGGGGNGAUGGCCUACCAAGGCGACGACGGGUAGCCGGCCUGAGAGGGCGACCGGCCACACUGGGACUGAGACACGGCCCAGACUCCUACGGGAGGCAGCAGUGGGGAAUCUUGCGCAAUGGCGAAAGCC